rnacentral:rRNA from 1 species
UACGAGUGCCCUAAGCGUUAUCCGGAAUCAUUGGGCGUAAAGGGUGUGUAGGUGGUAGUGUUAGUCCUGUGUUAAAUUCUUCGGCUCAACCGGGGCAUGCAUGGGAAACGGCAUUACUAGAGGAGUGCGAAGAGGCACAUGGAACUCAUGGAGUAGGGGUGAAAUCCGUUGAUAUCAUGGGGAACACCGAAAGCGAAGGCAAUGUGCUGGCGCACUCCUGACACUGAAACACGGAAAGCGUAGGUAGCGAAUGGG